GGCCGGGUCCUAUGCAACGCAGGACCAGUGAACCCCGCCAGGCCCGGAAGGGAGCAACGGUAGCUGAUGUCCGCGUGUGCCGUAGGGUGCCUGGCCUUU
rnacentral:SRP_RNA from 1 species